CCUCGUAGUGCAACGGAUAGAACGCAAGCCUCCGAAGCUUGAAAUGCAGGUUCGAUUCCUGCCGAGGGCAUUACCA
rnacentral:tRNA from 1 species